rnacentral:rRNA from 1 species
UGGGGAAUUUUGGACAAUGGGCGAAANCCUGAUCCAGCAAUGCCGCGUGUGUGAAGAAGGCCUUCGGGUUGUAAAGCACUUUUGUCCGGAAAGAAAUCCUUGGCUCUAAUACAGUCGGGGGAUGACGGUACCGGAAGAAUAAGCACCGGCUAACUACGUGCCAGCAGCCGCGGUAAUACGUAGGGUGCAAGCGUUAAUCGGAAUUACUGGGCGUAAAGCGUGCGCAGGCGGUUUGCUAAGACCGAUGUGAAAUCCCCGGGCUCAACCUGGGAACUGCAUUGGGUGACUGGCAGGCUAGAGUAUGGCAGAGGGGGGUAGAAUUCCACGUGUAGCAGUGAAAUGCGUAGAGAUGUGGAGGAAUACCGAUGGCGAAGGCAGCCCCCUGGGCCAAUACUGACGCUCAUGCACGAAAGCGUGGGGAGCAAACAGGAUUAGAUACCCCUGGGUAGUCCACGCCCUAAACGAUGUCAACUAGUUGUUGGGGAUUCAUUCCUUAGUAACGUAGCUAACGCGUGAAGUUGACCGCCUGGGGAGUACGGUCGCAAGAUU